CGCCCUUGUGCCAAGCAGCCGCGGUAAUUCCAGCUCCAAUAGCGUAUAUUAAAGUUGUUGCGGUAAAAAAGCUCGUAGUUGGAUUUCUGUUGAAGACGUCCGGUCCAUACCACGUAUGCGCAUCUGGCUCGGCUUCGGCAUCCUCUCGAAAGACGUUUCUGCGCUUGAUUGCGUGGAGCGGAUCUCGGGACUUUUACUUUGAGGAAAUUAGAGUGUUCACGGCAGGCUAUCGCCAGAAUACAUUAGCAUGGAAUAAUACUAUAGGAUCUCGGUUCUAUUUUGUUGGUUUCUAGAAUUGAGAUAAUGAUUAAUAGGGACAAUUGGGGGCAUUCGUAUCAACACGUUAGAGGUGAAAUUCUUGGAUCGUGUUGCGACGAACUACUGCGAAAGCAUUUGCCAAGGAUGUUUUCAUUGAUCAAGAACGAAAGUAAGGGGAUCGAAGACGAUUAGAUACCGUCGUAGUCUUUACCAUAAACUAUGCCAACUAGAGAUGGGACAUCGUUCACUUAAGACUUGUUCCGCACCUUAUGAGAUAUCAAAGUCUUUGGGUUCCGGGGGGAGUAUGGUCGCAAGUCUGAAACUUAAAGGAAUUGACGGAAGGGCACCACCAGGAGUGGAGCCUGCGGCUUAAUUUGACUCAACACGGGGAAACUCACCAGGUCCAGACAUAAUAAGGAUUGACAGAUUGAUAGCUCUUUCUUGAUUUUAUGGGUGGUGGUGCAUGGCCGUUCUUAGUUCGUGGAGUGAUUUGUCUGCUUAAUUGCGUUAACGAACGAGACCUUAACCUGCUAAAUAGGAGCGCCUAUCUCCGGAUAAGCGCCUUUCUUCUUAGAGGGACUUUAUGCGUUUCAGCAUGAGGAAGUUUGAGGCUAAAACAGGUCUGUGAUGCCCAAGGGCGA
rnacentral:rRNA from 1 species